GCCUGGCUUGGUGGCACAUGCCUGUAGUCCCAGCUACUCGGGAGGCUGAGGCUGGAGGAUCACCUGAGUCCAGGAGUUCUGGACUGUAAUGCACUGUGCCUAUCGGGUGUCGGCACUAAGUUCGGCAUCAAUAUGGCAACCUCCUGGGAGCGGGGCACUGCCAGGUUGCCUAAGGAGGGAUGAACUGGCCCAGGUCAGAAACGGAGAUCAGUAGGAGGAUCAUGCCUGUGAAUAGCCACUGCACUCCAGCCUGAGCAACAUAGUGAGACCUCGUCUCU
rnacentral:SRP_RNA from 1 species